rnacentral:rRNA from 1 species
GAUGAACGCUGGCGGCGUGCCUAAUACAUGCAAGUCGAGCGAACAGAUGAGGAGCUUGCUCCUCUGACGUUAGCGGCGGACGGGUGAGUAACACGUGGAUAACCUACCUAUAAGACUGGGAUAGCUUCGGGAAGCCGGAGCUAAUACCGGAUAAUAUAUUGAACCGCAUGGUUCAAUAGUGAAAGACGGUUUUGCUGUCACUUAUAGAUGGAUCCGCGCCGCAUUAGCUAGUUGGUAAGGUAACGGCUUACCAAGGCAACGAUGCGUAGCCGACCUGAGAGGGUGAUCGGCCACACUGGAACUGAGACACGGUCCAGACUCCUACGGGAGGCAGCAGUAGGGAAUCUUCCGCAAUGGGCGAAAGCCUGACGGAGCAACGCCGCGUGAGUGAUGAAGGUCUUCGGAUCGUAAAACUCUGUUAUUAGGGAAGAACAAAUGUGUAAGUAACUAUGCACGUCUUGACGGUACCUAAUCAGAAAGCCACGGCUAACUACGUG